AUUGAACGCUGGCGGCAGGCCUAACACAUGCAAGUCGAACGGUAACAGGAAGCAGCUUGCUGCUUUGCUGACGAGUGGCGGACGGGUGAGUAAUGUCUGGGAAACUGCCUGAUGGAGGGGGAUAACUACUGGAAACGGUAGCUAAUACCGCAUAACGUCGCAAGACCAAAGAGGGGGACCUUCGGGCCUCUUGCCAUCGGAUGUGCCCAGAUGGGAUUAGCUAGUAGGUGGGGUAACGGCUCACCUAGGCGACGAUCCCUAGCUGGUCUGAGAGGAUGACCGGCCACACUGGAACUAAGACCCGGCCCAGCCCCCUCGGGGAGGCAGCGGGGGGAAAUAUUGACCAAGGGGGGAAAGCUGGAUGCAGCCAUGCGGGGGGUAUGAAGAAGGCCUUCGGGUUGUAAAAUCCUUUCCGGGGGGAGAAAGGGAGUAAAGUUAAAACCUUUGCUCAUUGACGUUCCCCGCAGAAGAAGCACCGGCUACCUCCGU
rnacentral:rRNA from 1 species